UACGAACCGUGCGAACGUUGUUCGGAAUCACUGGGCUUAAAGGGCGCGUAGGCGGACUGUCAAGUCAGGGGUGAAAUCCUGCGGCUCAACCGUAGAAGUGCCUUUGAUACUGAUGGUCUCGAGGGAGAUAGGGGCGUGCGGAACUUCCGGUGGAGCGGUGAAAUGCGUAGAUAUCGGAAGGAACACCGGUGGCGAAAGCGGCGCGCUGGACCUCUUCUGACGCUGAGGCGCGAAAGCCAGGGGAGCGAACGGG
rnacentral:rRNA from 1 species